rnacentral:rRNA from 1 species
AUGUCGUCCCCGCCGCCCACAUCUGGUAGGGAGCAGAUCGCCGACAUCAAGGCGCCGCGUCCGCACGCCGCGGACACCACCGGCGCAGCGGGAGACAUCGGAGCUGUCGAGGCAAACCAAGCAGUGUCCGUCGGUGAGGCCAAGGCGACGCCGUCGCCGGCGACCAUCUGCCCCGCCUGCACGGAGCCCUGGAGCAGCGACGGCCCUCAUCGCAUGUGUUGUAUUCCUUGUGGGCAUGUGUACGGCAGAUCUUGUAUGGAGACGUUGCUGGGUCGUUCUGGCCAGAAUAGUGCCAAGUGCCCUCAGUGUGGCAAACAAUUUGAGGAGAAGCUUAUAAUCAACCUCUACGCACCAGAGAACAUGUUGGAGGGUUGCUGCAGUCCUGAGGAAAUUAAAGCGUUUUACGAACAUAUAUUUGUUGCAGUAAGGGCAACGUGUAUUGAGAUUCAACAAUGGUUUAGAGAACGGGUUGCUCAGAUGGAGAGAAUAGUAAACAAAAAGUUGACAAUGGCUAAGGCCAACGUGAUGUUAAUGAAGGAGCGAUUGAAGAAGAUGGCUGAACAAGAAAAGAUGGUGCCAAAGGAUAUGAUAGUGUUCAUGGAGCAGAAUUGCCCUCAGCUGAUGAUUUGUGUGUCGUGCGUGUUCUCGUCUAUACCAGAACCUGGUAUGGAAGGUAGGGAUGAGAUUGCCAAUGUCGAAAUUAUGGUCAGAGAGGGGCCUUGUCACCAUGCCGUGGAAGCUAGUGAACGGGGUGGCAGAGGCAAUGAGUUAAAUCAUACUGCAUCUGGUUCGGGCGAGGAGACCGAUGGCUCAUACAGAGAGAGUAGCUACUUUGGUGAAUAUAAUGCGAACAUCUCCAACAAAGAAGCAAAUAGGAUGCUGGUGAGUGCGAACAUGGAGGCUUCAGCUGAAGGGGGGAAAGGCAUUGAUGCUAAGGCACCAGCACGGCCAACCUGCUCUAUCUGCAUGGAACCGUGGACCUCCACGGACGAGCAUCACAUCUGUUGUAUUCCUUGCGGGCAUGUCUACGGCUGGUCGUGCCUAAUAAGGUGGCUCAGGGAUCAGCUUUCAAGGAAUGAGAAUCUGAAGGAAGUGCAUGAGUAUUAUGAAACUAAGUUGGCUGAGUUUGAGGCAUCGAGGGAAGAAUGUAUGAUAUUUGCAAAAUAUCAUUCUCAGUAUGACCUGCUAAGUGCACAGGCGAAGUUUCGGGAUGAGCUGCGUGCACUAAUUAGCCCUGAAAUUGCUGAGGUUGAAAGAGUGAUGAUGGAACACGUGGCAAAGGCUAACAGUAGCUUGGUGCUGAUGAAGGAGCACAUGAAGAAGAUGGCUGAAGAAGACACGGACUCUGGUUUGACCUCAUCAUUUGUCAAGAACAUGGCAGCUGGCGCUAGGGUCACCAAGUCUUCCUGUGUGGAGAUGUGGUGUGAACACUAA